rnacentral:rRNA from 1 species
GACAGAGGGUGCAAACGUUGUUCGGAAUUACUGGGCAUAAAGCGCGCGCAGGCGGCUAUUUAAGUCUGGUGUUUAAACCUUGGGCUCAACCUGAGGUCGCACUGGAAACUGGGUGGCUUGAGUACAGAAGAGGAAAGUGGAAUUCCACGUGUAGCGGUGAAAUGCGUAGAUAUGUGGAGGAACACCAGUGGCGAAGGCGACUUUCUGGGCUGUAACUGACGCUGAGGCGCGAAAGCGUGGGGAGCAAACAGG